rnacentral:rRNA from 1 species
GCCCUACGGGGCGCAGCAGGCGCGAAACCUCUGCAAUGCGGGAAACCGUGACAGGGGGAUCCCAAGUGCUCAUGCAUUGCAUGGGCUGUUCUUUGGUCUAAGUAACCAGAGGAGUAAGGGCUGGGCAAGACCGGUGCCAGCCGCCGCGGUAAUACCGGCAGCUCAAGUGGUAGCCGCGAUUAUUGGGCCUAAAACGUUCGUAGCCGGAUAAGUAAGUCUUUGGUUAAAUCCUGCGACUCAACCGUGGGAAUUCUAGAGAUACUGCUUGUCUUGAGACCGGGAGAGGUUGGAGGUACUCCUAGGGUAGGGGUGAAAUCCUGUAAUCCUAGGGGGACCACCUGUGGCGAAGGCGUCCAACUGGAACGGGUCUGACGGUGAGGGACGAAACCUAGGGGAGCGAGCCGGAUUAGAUACCCGGGUAGUCCUAGGCGUAAAUGAUGCGAGUUAAGUGUGGGGGCAUCUACGAGAUGGCCCUGUGCUGUAGGGUAGCCGUUAAACUCGCUGCCUGGGGAGUACGGUCGCAAGGCUGAAACUUAAAGGAAUUGGCGGGGGAGCACCACAAGAGGUGGAGGCUGCGGUUCAAUUGGACUCAACGCCGGAAAACUCAUCG